rnacentral:rRNA from 1 species
GCAAGUCGAACGAAGUAGCAAUACUUAGUGGUAGACGGGUGAGUAACAUGUGGGUAUCUUCCCUUUGGUGAGGAAUAACACGAGGAAACUUGUGCUAAUACCUCAUAAGUCUUUACAGAGAAAGCUUUAUGCGCCGAAGGAUGAGCCUGCACUUGAUUAGUUUGUUGGUGGGGUAAUGGCCUACCAAGACUUUGAUCUAUAGCUGAUCUGAGAGGAUGAUCAGCCACAUUGGGACUGAGACACGGCCCAAACUCCUACGGGAGGCAGCAGUAGGGAAUAUUGCACAAUGGAGGAAACUCUGAUGCAGCGAUGCCGCGUGAGUGAAGAAGGCCUUUGGGUUGUAAAGCUCUUUCGUCGGGGAAGAAAAUGACUGUACCCGAAUAAGAAGGUCCGGCUAACUUCGUGCCAGCAGCCGCGGUAAUACGAAGGGACCUAGCGUAGUUCGGAAUUACUGGGCUUAAAGAGCUCGUAGGUGGUUAAAAAAGUUGAUGGUGAAAUCCCAAGGCUCAACCUUGGAACUGCCAUCAAAACUUUUUAGCUAGAGUGUGAUAGAGGUAAGUGGAAUUUCUAGUGUAGAGGUGAAAUUCGUAGAUAUUAGAAAGAACACCAAAUGCGAAGGCAACUUACUGGGUCACUACUGACACUGAGGAGCGAAAGCAUGGGUAGCGAAGAGGAUUAGAUACCCUCGUAGUCCAUGCCGUAAACGAUGUGUGCUAGACGUUGGAAAUAUAUUUUUCAGUGUCGCAGCGAAAGCAUUAAGCACACCGCCUGGGGAGUACGACCGCAAGGUUAAAACUCAAAUGAAUUGACGGGGACCCGCACAAGCAGUGGAGCAUGUGGUUUAAUUCGAAGAUACGCGCAGAACCUUACCAACGCUUGACAUGUUCGUCGCGAGACUAAGAGAUUAGUUUCUUCAGUUCGGCUGGACGAAACACAGGUGCUGCAUGGCUGUCGUCAGCUCGUGUCGUGAGAUGUGGGUAAGUCCGCAACGAGCGCACCCCUACUUUUAGUUGCCACAUUAGUUGGGCACUUUAAAGACUGCCAGUGAUAGCUGAGAAGGUGGGGAUGACGUCAGUCUCAUGCCUAUGGUGCUACCCGGCUACAUGCCCUACAUGAAGCAGAGGUACUUUAGCUAUCAAUGGUCCAGUCGAUGACUUGUAACCCGAGACCAG